rnacentral:ncRNA from 1 species
UGACCUCGGAUCAGACGUGAUUACCCGCUGAAUUUAAGCAUAUUAUUAAGCGGAGGAAAAGAAACUAACAAGGAUUCCCCUAGUAACGGCGAGUGAACGGGGAAGAGCCCAACACCGAAUCCCUUGGCGCAAGUCAACGGGAAAUGUGGUGUUAAGGUAGCCCUUCGUGUCAGUCUAGGCGUCUCAAGUCCACCUGAUUGUGGCUCAAGCCCAGAGAGGGUGUAAGGCCCGUAGAGACGCUCCGACUGAUUCCUGGGGUUUACCUACGAGUCGGCUUGUUUGGGAAUGCAGGCCAAAGCGGGUGGUAAACUCCAUCCAAGGCUAAAUACUGGCACGAGUCCGAUAGCGGACAAGUACCGUGAGGGAAAGUUGAAAAGAACUUUGAAGAGAGAGUUCAAUAGUACGUGAAACCGCUUAGAGGCAAACGGAUGGUGCUCAUACUGGCCUGAGGAAUUCAACUGUGACGGUGGCUGGACGAGCUGGCGUUCCGAUCUCUCUUUUGGGACGGGCGUCGGUUUGGCUAUCAGCUCUGACAUGGUGCACUUUCCUUGGUGCCUCCGCCACGACCGACGACACUGGCUACCGCGGCUGGGGUAAGGUGACAAACUGCUUCGGCAAUUUGUGUUAUAGACCCCGGCGUCGGACAUGGUUUGGCCAGGACGUCGAGCUUGCGGCGCCCGCUCCUUGUGGGCUCGCAUGUUGGCUAGCUUGGCUGCGCCGAUGCUUGCACUGGACAACCAGUACAGGUGACGGUUGUGGUCUUGUCUCUAGUUGGCCUCUGCGAGUUUGGCGCCUAUAGUCUGUGGUGUACUUGUGGGUAGACUAUCCGACCCGUCUUGAAACACGGACCAAGGAGUCUAACAUGUGCGCGAGUCAUGGGGAUUCUACGAAACCCAAAGGCGCAGUGAAAGUAAAGGCCUGCUUCUCGUAGGCUGAGGUGGGAUCUCGUGCAUCGCGAUUGGCGAGCGCACCACCGGCCCGUCCUAUCUGUCUCUGUCAGUGGGGCGGCGCAAGAGCGUACACGUUGGGACCCGAAAGAUGGUGAACUAUGCUUGCGCAGCUCGAAGUCAGUGGAAACACUGAUGGAGGAGCGCAGCGUU